AGGACGAACGCUGGCGGCGUGCUUAACACAUGCAAGUCGAGCGGAAAGGCCACUUCGGUGGUACUCGAGCGGCGAACGGGUGAGUAACACGUGAGUAAUCUGCCCUUGGCUUUGGGAUAGCCACCGGAAACGGUGAUUAAUACCGGAUAUGACCACUUCACGCAUGUGUGGUGGUGGAAAGUUUUUCGGCCAGGGAUGUGCUCGCGGCCUAUCAGCUUGAUGGUGAGGUAAUGGCUCACCAUGGCUUCGACGGGUAGCCGGCCUGAGAGGGUGACCGGUCACACUGGGACUGAGACACGGCCCAGACUCCUACGGGAGGCAGCAGUGGGGAAUAUUGGACAAUGGGCGGAAGCCUGAUCCAGCAACGCCGCGUGAGGGAUGACGGCCUUCGGGUUGUAAACCUCUUUCGGUGGGGACGAAGCGCAAGUGACGGUACCCACUAAAGAAGCACCGGCCAACUACGUGCCAGCAGCCGCGGUAAUACGUAGGGUGCGAGCGUUGUCCGGAAUUAUUGGGCGUAAAGGGCUCGUAGGCGGUUUGUCGCGUCGGGAGUGAAAACCAGGUGCUUAACACCUGGCUUGCUUUCGAUACGGGCAGACUAGAGGUAUUCAGGGGAGAAUGGAAUUCCUGGUGUAGCGGUGAAAUGCGCAGAUAUCAGGAGGAACACCGGUGGCGAAGGCGGUUCUCUGGGAAUGACCUGACGCUGAGGAGCGAAAGUGUGGGGAGCGAACAGGAUUAGAUACCCUGGUAGUCCACACCG
rnacentral:rRNA from 1 species